rnacentral:lncRNA from 1 species
GGAAAUGAGACUCAACCUUUUUACUGCAAAUUUAGGAGCCGUUUUCUUUCACUCAUAUAACUAUCUGGUUUAGUUCAUCAACCCAAAUGCUGAAUAAACAUGAAAAUAUAUAUAUUCAAUCAAAUCUUUUUACCUUUGUUUCUAGAAAGAAAAGAAUUUGGAGAAAUUUUAGGUAAGACAAUUCAAUCAAUCAUUUGUUUUGAAAGAACUCUUCAAGGACCAAUCGAUCCAUUUCCUUCAUACUUCAUAUAAAUAAUUCUAAAACCCCAGAGUAUAUCUUUCCACGGAUCGAAGGAAAAAAGACAGUUCGAUCGAAUCUUUUUUUUUAUAUUCUUUUAUCU